UCUUGAAGCCUCAGCAGAAUUGCCAAAAAAGAAAAAGAUCCGAAUUAUUGAGGAUAAUAGCGAAGAUGAUGGAGACUUUCAAAAAGAAUUACAAAUUUCAGGAUUGCAUGAUAAGAAAUGUGACGAUAUAAUUGUGGUUAAGGGAAAAGCAGCUUCGGUUGUGUCAUAAUGUGAAAUAGAAAGCAUUGCUGACGUUGUUGAAGUAGAUCAUAGCGAUUUGAUUGAUGAUCAUCACGUUUUAUUAAGAAUGACAAAAGCGGAUAUUAUAAAGGUGUAUGAUAAACCUCAAUCCAACGACUUCUACAAAACAAGAAGUUCCAAGAACAGUCGUUCAUCACUUUUAGCAAUUGCAUUGGUCGGUGAACGACUAAUAAUGACUGGUGAGAUUACACGUGAAUUUUGGAGAGACGAGGAAGUAAAGCUCCAAGAAUCGUCUUUUUUGUUAGACCUUUACAGCGACAUUGAAUGGGAAGGCAUUCGAUGGAUCCUUAAGAA